UAAUUUAUGAAAAAUUCAGGUAUCGGAGCAUGAGUGCUUCGGUUAAAAAGGAAGCAGGUGCAAUUCCUGCACGGUCCCGCCGCUGUGAUGGGGAGAUGUUUCGUGAAGGCCACUGGUUUAGUCUGGGAAGGUGCGAAACAUUGAUGAUCCAGAGUCAGAAGACCUACCUGUAUUUACACCAACUAC
rnacentral:ncRNA from 15 species